CGGAAGGAUCAUUACCUUUCAAUGCAGAAGAGUUGAGAUGGUUGAGUAUCUCGCCUCUCAAUUCUCGCUGUAUUUUACCCUUGUUUUUCUCAUAUUAUUAUUUCCUCGGCAGGCUCGCCUGCCGGGUGAAACAACUUCAAACCUGUUUAAUUUUCAAUCAGCGUCUGAACAAAUUAAUAAUUACAACUUUCAACAACGGAUCUCUUGGUUCUGGCAUCGAUGAAGAACGCAGCGAAAUGCGAUAAGUAGUGUGAAUUGCAGAAUUCAGUGAAUCAUCGAAUCUUUGAACGCACAUUGCGCCCCUUGGUAUUCCAUGGGGCAUGCCUGUUCGAGCGUCAUUUGUACCUUCAAGCUCUGCUUGGUGUUGGGUGUUUGUCCUUGCUCUAGUGGCGGGACUCGCCUUAAAGUAAUUGGCAGCCAGUGUUUUGGUUUUGAAGCGCAGCACAAGUCGCGAUUCAAGUCUAUACGCUAGUUUCCACAAGUCUUUUAUCACUUUUGACCUCGGAUCAGGUAGGGAUACCCGCUGAACUUAAGCAUAUCAAA
rnacentral:rRNA from 1 species